rnacentral:lncRNA from 1 species
UCACCUUCUAGGAACACGUGAGGCUUGACCUUCUUGUCAAAAGCUUUCUUCAUUCUCUGCUGAUAUAACUGACCAUGGCACAUGGCAGCCAAUCUCUUCUCUUCGAUCAAAUUCAGCUGGUCGUAACGACUCUGAACCCAUUCAGCAUCAGUCAACUUGGGGUCUGAGGGUGCCAUUUUUUUCUUUUAUUUUUCUCUACAUUUUUUUUUUUUUUUUAUUUUUGAUUUUUUUGAUUUUUGAUUUUUUUAUUUUU